GCGCCGAGGAGCUGCGCCGUCGCCUGGACGCCCUGCACGCCGCCGCCGCCGAGCGCCUGGACCACCGCAGAGUGAAAAUCCACUGACCAUCAGCACUUUGUUAUUCAGAAGACCUUGACUCUGGGGCUCUGAAUCCAUUCAUCUUUGUUCUGCCUCCGCCAAACCCUGAAAAUUUAAGCCUGUGUCCCGAGACGCAGCCUUGUCUCCAAGUAACCCAUUUCAUUCCAGCAGCUUAACUGGCUCAGGUGAAUGAAGCAACUGGAAUUUCCUGCUGGCCCAAACACAGACUUUCAGCGCCUGAUGUCUGUGUGUGGUUUUUCCCUUUCAGUACGUGGACUUGGUCAUAAUCUUAAGUGUGAAGAGUAAAUCGGGGAUGGCUGAUGGAUGUCAGGGCGGGAGUCGAGAUACUGGUGUAGCAAGCCACGCCUAGGUUUCAGCAGCUCUGUCUGGUUGAAAAACUGCCUCGCCAACCGAGACUCACUUCAUAUGGAACCUCCAGUGGCUUUUUUCCCACCUUGCUAAAAACAAAACAAAGAAGUACUGAGCUAUAAUGCAUCUUCCUCCAAGUUGUCAUGUGAUGGUUCAUUUCUUUUUUUUUGAAAUAAAGUCCACCUCUAAUUGUGUUGA